UGUUUUUCUAAAGGAAGCGUUCUAGGUGGGGUCUAGUCUGGAUCAGGAAGUGCUUGGGACCAGCUGUGGCGUGGAUGGGCCGUGCCCUUGGAGAAGACUGAGGACAUCGUUUGGGACCAGCUUUUCUUGUGGCAGCGGAUGGUGUGAGCCGGGCUCUGCGGAUGCUGAGGCUGCUCUGGGCUCUGCCAGGGCUCUGCUGGGCUCAGCACCGGGCCGGGAUCAGCCAAAGAAGAAACGCUGUGACCUGCAGCAGAGACUUGAGCAUUUUGGCAAUGCAGCUCAAGUCUGCAGAGUGUCCACCUCCAAGGGAAAACAUGACACCUCCCAAAAAUUAAACUUGUUCCAUAACUUCUGAAAUGAAAUCCA